GGUGGGUCCUUAUCAGAACUAGUACUGGCCGCAGAUAGAGUCCUUGUCGUCGGUGACUUUAAUAUCCAUGUAGACAAUGAUACAGAUGCCUUGGGACUGGCUUUCAAAGACACUCUUAACUCCAUGGGCGUUAGUCAACAUGUGUCAGGACCCACUCACCUUCGUAAUCAUACUUUAGAUUUAAUACUUUCUUAUGGUAUAAAUGUGGACGAUGUUAAAAUCGUUCAGCAGAGUGAAUAUAUUUCGGAUCAUUAUCUGAUAUUAUGUUUGCUUCAAUGGCCUACGGCUGCAAAUCAAACACCAAAGUUCCGUUUCUCGAUAAUCUGCCUGAAUUGUCUAAAAUAUCUAGCAUGAGUAAAAGCGUUGACGAUUUUGACACUAUUAUUGAAAAUUUUAACUCUACUUUCUCGGAAAUAUUAGACACAGUUGCUCCUCUGUGUUUAAAGAAAAUUAAAAAUAGCAGCCCAACACCGUGGUAUAAUGAACACACUCAGACUCUAAAAAAAGCGUCCCGGAAAAUGGAGCGCAACUUUAAGAAAACUAAUUUAGAGGUAUUUCGUAUAGCAUGGAAGGAUAGUACUCGAAAUUACAGGAAUGCCAUAAAAACGUCUAGAUCCACCUACUUUUCAACACUAAUAGAGGAAAACCAUCACAACCCUAGGUUUUUAUUUAACACCGUGGCUAAAUUAAUAAAAAAUAAGUCGUCAUCAACGUCAGAUUCUGAUUAUCAGCAUAACAGUGAUGAAUUUAUGAACUACUUCACGAGUAAAAUCCAAGAUAUAAGAGAAAAAAUUAUAACAAUGCAACCUGUAGUGAAAUCCGCUGAACAAACUAACUACAGCACCCCUAAGGAGAAAUUGCAAUUAUUUUCUAUAGUAGAUCACGAUGAACUGUCUAAAAUCAUUAGAUCAUCUAAAUCAACAACAUGCAUGCUAGACCCUAAACCUACAAAACUACUGAAAGAAAUGCUCCCAGAAAUUAUAGAUCCUCUUCUCAGUAUUAUUAACUCAUCUCUGACAUAAGGACAUGUGCCUAAAGCAUUUAAGGUGGCUGUUAUAAGGCCUCUUUUAAAAAAAAAAACUUGACCCUAAAGAACUAGGGAAUUCCAGGCCUAUAUCGUAUUUACCUUUUAUAUCUAAAGUUCUGGAAAAAGUAGUUUCAACUCAAUUAUGCUCCUUCCUCCAAAAGAAUGACAUUAAUGAUGAAUUCCAGUCUGGAUUUCGAGCAUGUCACAGUACAGAGACUGCUUUGAUCAGAGUUACAAAUGAUCUGCUUUUAGCGUCUGACCGUGGCUGUAUUUCAUUAUUGGUGCUGCUAGACCUCAGUGCUGCAUUUGACACCAUUGACCACAGCAUACUUCUACAUAGACUCGAAAAUUACGUCGGCAUUAAAGGAAUAGCAUUGAAAUGGUUUGAGUCUUAUUUAUCCGACCGUUUUCAAUUUGUAGCAAUAAACAUUGAGGUGUCCCGCAAAUCACAAGUCCAGUACGGUGUACCACAAGGCUCAGUCUUGGGGCCUCUGCUCUUCGCAUUAUACAUGCUACCUCUAGGAGAUAUAAUACAGCGACACGGAAUAAGCUUUCACUGUUAUGCUGAUGAUACUCAACUUUAUAUUUCCUCGAAGCCUCAUGAAACCCAGCAGUUCUAUCGAAUAAAGGAUUGCAUAGUUGACUUAAAAAUGUGGAUGAGUAACAAUUUUUUACUACUAAACUCGGACAAAACAGAUGUGUUACUUACUGGACCGAAAACUGCUAUGCGUAACAACCAAGAAUACUGCUUAACGAUUGACGGAUGCCCCAUAAAAUCCUCGUCAUCAGCUAAGAAUCUUGGCGUUGUAUUCGACAGUACUCUGUCAUUUGAAAGCCAUGUCGCCAACACCUGUAAAAUUGCAUUUUUCCAUUUUAAGAAUAUAUCCAAAUUACGUCAUAUGCUGUCACUGUCAGAUGCAGAGAAAUUAAUUCAUGCAUUCAUGACAUUAAGACUAGAUUACUGUAAUGCACUUCUAGGUGGUUGCCCUGCGGGCCUAUUACAAAAAUUGCAACUGGUUCAAAACGUUGCAGCUCGAGUUCUUACACGUACAAAAAAGUAUGAGCAUAUAACCCCGGUUCUGUCAACCUUGCACUGGUUACCUAUGAAGCAUCGCAUUAACUUUAAGAUCUUGCUUAUUACCUAUAAAGCCCUACAUGGUCUAGCGCCGCAGUAUUUGAAUGAACUUCUAUUGUAUUACAGACCUCAACGUACAUUACACUCUCAGGCGUCCUGUCAGUUGGUAAUACCUAGAAUUUCAAAAUCAAGUGCAAGUGGUAGAUCCUUUUCUUAUCUAGCGCCUAAACUUUGGAAUAUUCUUCCCUGCACUGUCCGGGAGGCAGACACACUCUGUCAGUUUAAAUCUAGACUAAAGACUCAUCUUUUUAAUCUUGCAUACAUUACACCUCCAUAAUAUUAAUCCUCAAAGGAUUUAGGCUGCAUUAUUUAGAUCAACCGGAACCAGGAACACAUCCAACAACAAAUGAUGUACUUGUUGCAUCAAAGAGUGCAGAACAGUACUCUACUCUCAGCCAGUCUUGUCUCUUUGUUCCAAGGUUACCGCAGGAUCCAGUUCAUGCCCAUACCUGAUGGCAGAGCAGAGAAUGGGAAGCCGUGACCUGACAAGAGCUAAGAGGAUAGAGCUGGAUAAAGGACGCGACAACUUUGUUUUUCCUACAACAUUUCAAAUGCUAUUAGAUUGUUAAUGAUAAUCUUAAAUCCUUAAUUUUUAUAUUUUUAUUAAGCCUUGUUGUGCAAGCACUGUUGAGCUUGUGCAGAGGCAACAGCUUUUGCCAGAGGGGAACUGGAAUCCCCUGGUCGGGCCUGGGUUCCCCUGAGGUUUUUUUUCUCGAUGGGAUAUUUGGGUUCCUCACCACCAUUUGCAUAUUGUUUUGCACUAUCUGGCUGGCCGGGGAGGCUGCUUUAGAAUUCAUACUUGUAUUCAAUGUGUCUCAUUGUACAGCUGCUUUGUAACAAUGAAAAUUGUAAAACGCGCUAUAUAAAUAAAGUUGAGUUGAGUUGAGAAUUGCAAACAGUCGUUUUCCAAAUAUGAAGGAUUUAAGAAUCACUUUUAUCAUUGCCAUAACACCUCUACAUGUACUGUGCCUGCACAUGGAGUAACUGAUACAGCCUUGACAUGCAAUAUUGCACUUUGUGGUCAUCAGUGUAAUGAUGUGCCUGGUCUUGUUGCUCAUUUUAAGAACCAUAUGAAGGAAGGCCGUGCAGUUAAUUGUCCAGUGAAAGGGUGCAAAAGGGUUUUUCAAAUCAUGUCUUCUUUUACCUCCCAUAUGUCCAGGAAGCACAGGAACUACUCAUUUGAUAUCAAUGAUCAUUCGCAUCAACAUUCUGCACCAGAGAUUUCAUCGGUUUCAACUGAACAAUGUCCUACAGCUUCUGACCUGGAUGCAAAUGCAGAUCCCGUUGGCGUUCCGGACUGCGAUCUCCUGCUUCACCAAGCUCCACGAUUGCUCCUGGAUUCCACCCGUUACCAGGCACUACAGAUUCUCUCGCCUAGCGAGCUCCGGGUCGAGCUUCCUCCCCGGACCCAGUUCUCUACAGAUUCUCUCGCCGAGCGAGCUCCGGGUCGAGCUGCCUCCCCGGACCCAGUUCUCUACAGAUUCUUCCCCGUGGCCCGCAGGGGGUCGUCUGUGUGUGCUUUUUACCAGACUGUGGUGGAGUUAUUAACCUAUCAAUAAAGCCUUGUUUUUGCCCCGCACUUGAGUCUCCCUUUGUCUGCCAUGA